UGGCUGUCUGAACUGAUACUGGACUCCGCGCUGCAGCUGGCAUGCUUCCAACUCUACAGAGCGGACCGCCACGCAGAGCUCUCCGGCAAAACAAAAGAGAGUGAGGACAGAGGAUGGAGUUUAAGACAGCUCGUCAUUCAGCAGCUAAGAGACCUGGAAUGGAUCUGUUGAUGCCUGUCUUGUGUUUUCUGGACACAAGUGUGCCACAGGAUAGGCAACAACGCCUUCUUAAGGCAACAUAGGAGGCCAGGGCAUGCCAGUCGUCAAAAACAUCCCAAACGUAUGACGACAGCAGGCUGAGGGAUCCCAAGACCGAAGCUAAAAGGAGAUGCCAGAUAAUCACGGCAACUCC